rnacentral:lncRNA from 1 species
UUUUUUUUCCCUAACUUUUUUGCGUAUCGGUCUUUUUGCGGUUUAGGAUAAAAAAAAUUGUUUUUAAACAAAUUGUCUCAUAUUAUUCCUAUUUUUUGUCGAUUCAUUAGGAAAAAAUCAGUAAUCAAAAGCCUUCAUUUAUGGAAUAAAUAAUGGAUGCCGCCCUAAAAAACCGAAAUUCCCUAUUUUUCUAUUUUUUAUGAUUUAUUUUCUGUUUUGGUAGUUUCAG